GAGGGAUCGUCUUUUUUCACAUUUUCACCGACUUCGCCGACAACGAAGUAGUUUCGAUAUUGGGUUUCUUUACUAUAUUCCUAGGCAUACUGGCGGUAGCCGCGUACAACUGGUACCUGAUUACCGUCACUGGUCAGACCAUUGGAAAAAAGACAAUGGGAGUCCGCAUCGUCCAGACGGACGCGCUCCGACUGCCGGCU
rnacentral:rRNA from 1 species